rnacentral:lncRNA from 1 species
GAGCAGCUAAAGGAAGAGGGGCUGGAAUGCGUCGGGUCUCGCCUUCCUUCUACUUCUAUCUCGUUCCCCCCUCCCUCCCAGGCUUUCUGCUCUUUUCGAUCGGAAAAAUAAUAAUAAUAAAAUUUCUCCUGGAAUUGGAUAAAGUUUCUCUGCCGAUACCCAAGUUCCAGAGGAAUCCCCACCCUGUCCCCCUCCCCCCCGCCACCCCCGCCCCAGCCCCGAGGACGGUGCACUGGUUUGUAUUUCUUUUGUUACCUGCGAUCCGGGCGGGGGGCUCCUUUCGGCCGCUCGGGCUGGGGUCCGGCACAGAGCGGAGGCUCGGGCGGGCGCCUUUGGCCGCGACUCCUCGCUCCCGCGCGGUUGUGGUGAGGUCUUAGCUACCGUUCGGUGAGACACCCUCCUUGUAGGUACCAGAGGUUCAGAUCGCGAACACGGAUCUCCCCCCCCCCCAACCACACACACACCCCGACCCCUGCACACACACAGACACACACACUCACACUCAACACACUCACAGACACACAUAUUCUCCCUACUCCCCCCCACCUCCAGCCCCCACCUCGCCUUUCCCCUCCCCCCUUCCAAAAAAAGCACACACACACAACAACAACAGCCCCCCCAGACCAAACAAAAACCCAAAGACAAGUUCACUGGCGGAAGAUGGUGGAUUGACACUGACUCAGACAGAGGCAGGUUCACCAGGAAAUCUGGCGGUCCCGAUUUCUGACAGUUGCAUUUCCUCUCCUUGAGUCCUCCCCCCCCCCCUUUUUUUUAUUAACUCUGUUCCAUGUUUAAUCAAGGAUCAUGUAGAUGGCAAAAGGAGAGACAGAGAGAAGGGAGAGAGGAAGAGAGAGGAGAGAGAGACAAGAGACAGAAGGAGGGCUUUUUUUUUUUUUUUUUUUUAUUGUGUUCUCCUGGAUUUUCAGUGGCUUGAUCCCUAUAAACGUGGAGUGGUUAAAGCUCAUAUGUAGUAUUAUAUUUUUAGUUGGGUGGAUGGAUGGAAGAGUCAGGGAGAGGCUGCGGCUGCCGCUGCCUUUUCGGGUGUUGCUUAGAUUAAGGCUGAGACUUGGCUGCGAUUGGGACGCGACAGUGACACGGGCAUCGAUCGCUUCCAUUGAGAGCAAUGCAAAAACACAGCCCGGGUCCCUGACAGGCUGGAUGAAAUGAG